UGUAGAGAAUGUCGUUUCACUUUCUUAAUUCAUUACUAUAGGUGUUUCUGGCAGAUAGUGCACCCUACUUGUUUAUUGGCCUGAUUCGAGUGAUAUUUGCGCCUUGCAUGAAACCAUAGCAUCGUACAUUACGGUUUUCUUUUCUCUUUCAGAAACAUCAAAACAUCUGCAAGUUGCGCAUACUGUGCGCAUAACUGUCAGUGGAAAAUCAGAGAAACCGAUUACUGGCGGCAAAGGCGAAUGCUGAUAUAUUUCUGUGUAGCAAUCACAUGGAUAUGCUGUUACUGCUGUGCUCGCAACUCUUGUGUUUCAUACUGCGAUGGAACUGGAGUCCUCAUCGGCCUUUCCCGCAAGAAGCGGAUGAAGUGUCGAUACUGUAACUACAGCUCCGAUUACAAGAACAACGUGCAGGUGCACGAAAGGAUCCAUACAGGCGAGCAGCCUUUCAAAUGUGGUAUUUGCCUGAAACCGUUUAGGCACAGCCAGUCAUUACGGACGCAUAUGCGGUAUCACACAGGAGAGAAACCUUUCAAGUGCAACAUGUGCCCCAAGAGUUACAUUCAGAAGACUAGCCUGUCUCAACACUUACUUUCUCACAGGAUGAUGGGGAAAGACUAGUGCCCUUGAAGAGCAUUAGUCAUGUGGUCCUUUGAGAACCUAAUAAACGCUUUCAGUUUGGAA